rnacentral:tRNA from 19 species
GCAAGUGUAGUUUAAUGGUAGAACUUCAGCCUUCCAAGCUGACUGUGAGGGUUCGAUUCCCUUCACUUGCUCCA